GACGAACGCUGGCGGCGUGCUUAACACAUGCAAGUCGAACGAAGUGGCGAACGGGUGAGUAAUACGUGGGUAACCUGCCCUCCUUUUUGGGAUAAGCCUUGGAAACUGGGUCUAAUACCGAAUAAAGGGGGAUGGGCUCGCGGCCUCUCAGCUUGUUGGUGGGGUGAUGGCCUACCAAGGCGGGGACGGGUAGCCGGCCUGAGAGGGUGAACGGCCACAUUGGGACGGAGAUACGGCCCAGUCUCCGACGGGAGGCAGCAGUGGGGGAUAUUACACAAUGGGCGAAAGCCUGAUGCAGCGACGCCGCGUGGGGGAUGAAGGCUUUCGGGUUGUAAACCUCUUUCGAUAUCGAAAGGGUAGGUGGAGAAGAAGCGCCGGCUAACUACGUGCCAGCAGCCGCGGUAAUAC
rnacentral:rRNA from 1 species